rnacentral:rRNA from 1 species
UCGAGAAUCUUCCCCAAUGGACGAAAGUCUGAGGGAGCGACGCCGCGUGCAGGAAGAAGCUCUUCGGAGUGUAAACUGCUUUUUUAGGGGAACAAUUUUUGAGUGUACUCUAAGAAUAAGGGGCUGCUAACUUCGUGCCAGCAGCAGCGGUAAUACGAAGGCCCCAAGCGUUAUCCGGAUUUAUUGGGCGUAAAGCGUUAAAAGGCGGUUUGGUAAAUACUCGGUCAAAUCUCAGGGCUCAACCCUGUGGCUGCCGAGUACACUGCCAGACUUGAGGUCGGAAGAGGCAAGCGGAACUAUCGGUGUAGUGGUAAAAUGCGUUAAUAUCGAUAGGAACACCAAAGGCGAAGGCAGCUUGCUGGUACGAACCUGACGCUAAAUAACGAAAGCGUGGGGAGCGAAUGGGAUUAGAUACCCCAGUAGUCCACGCCGUAAACGAUGGAUGCUAGGGAUUGGGAGUUUCGACCCUCUCAGUCUCGUUCAAGCUAACGCGUUAAGCAU